ensembl:snoRNA SNORD88C small nucleolar RNA, C/D box 88C
GGGCUCCUAUGAGGUCCAGCACUGGGCUCCAAUCAGCCCUGAGGAUGCAGUGCUUCCCAGGACCUUUUGAUACCUGAGGGUUUGAGGGGUCC